rnacentral:lncRNA from 1 species
CACAGUUUCCAGUUUGUUGCUAAGUAACCACUACUGCCUGGUAUGAGUGUGUGAGCACUCUGUUUCUUGUGUCAACUCAUUAUGCCAACAUAAUAGAGUGAACUUAACAUUAGAGAAUGGAAUGUGAGAUUUCAUUUUUCAUCACCCAUACAGUUAGUCUAUUAUUGUCCAGCCAACUAAAAGUGUCUUCUAGAAUAAGGUGAAAGAACAGAGAGGGCAAGGAAGAACUGAGAGCAUAUGGAGGAAGGAGGUCCCAGCAGUGAUGCAAUAGAAGGAGCAUAGGAAGACAGAAGUCAGCAAAUGACCAUCCAGUGCAGCAAGCAGCGUGCUCAGUAUCAACAGGGGUUGUCUUCCAGGGAUUGCAUCAGGAGGCCACCUGACCUCUGACUUCCUGUUGGCUUCAGCUAAGAAGGAAGGAGGAACACUGAGAGGGGACAGGAGGAGGCAGGAGCAUGCUGUCAGGGUAUUGUGUUUUUCCAGUGCCUUCUCUGUGGGCUGCUGAGGGCCUGAAGCCCCUCCUCACAGCUCUCUCCCUCUCCAAAUCCUUAUGUGACCAGCCCCACCCCCUCACUCCCCCAGGCUCCCCGAGGUUGCCAGCCCCAAAGUAUUCACUGCUUUUUUGGCUCCCCCACACCUGUCCUUGCCUGUGUAAAUGUUCCC